AGAACGACGCUGGCGGCAGGCUUAACACGAUGCAAGUCGAACGGUUGUAGCAAUACAGCAGUGGCAGACGGGUGAGUAACACGUGGGAACCUUCCUAGGGGUACGGAACAACGUCAGGGAAACUUGAGCUAAUACCGUAUACGUCCGUGAGGAGAAAGAUUUAUCGCCCUUAGACGGGCCCGCGUCGGAUUAGCUAGGUUGGUGGGGUAAACGGCCUACCAAGGCGACGAUCCGUAGCUGAUCUUAGAGGAUGAUCAGCCACACUGGGACUGAGACACGGCCCAGACUCCUACGGGAGGCAGCAGUGGGGAAUCUUGGACAAUGGCGCAAGCCUGAUCCAGCCAUGCCGCGUGAGUGAAGAAGGUCUUCGGAUUGUAAAGCUCUUUUGCCAGGGACGAUAAUGACGGUACCUGGAGAAUAAGCCCCGGCAAACUUCGUG
rnacentral:rRNA from 1 species